rnacentral:rRNA from 1 species
GACGAACGCUGGCGGCGUGCUUUAUACAUGCAAGUCGAACGAUGAAGUUCCUUCGGGAAUGGAUUAGUGGCGAACGGGUGAGGAACACGUGAGAAACCUGCCUUUCAUUCUGGGAUAACACCGGGAAACCGGUGCUAAUACCGGAUACUCCGUCUUGGCGGCAUCGCCGAGCCGGGAAAAAAUUUUGAUGAAAGAUGGUCUCGCGGCCUAUCAGCUAGUUGGUGAGGUAAUGGCUCACCAAGGCGACGACGGGUAGCCGGCCUGAGAGGGCGGCCGGCCACACUGGGACUGAGACACGGCCCAGACUCCUACGGGAGGCAGCAGUAGGGAAUAUUGGGCAAUGGGCGCAAGCCUGACCCAGCGACGCCGCGUGAGGGAUGAAGGUCUUCGGAUUGUAAACCUCUUUCAGUAGGGAAGAAGCGAAAGUGACGGUACCUAAAGAAGAAGCACCGGCUAACUAUGUGCCAGCCGCCGCGGUAAAAC